CGCGUGAGAAUCUGCCCAUAGGAUAGGGACAACAGUUGGAAACGACUGCUAAUACCUGAUGUGCCGAGAGGUGAAACUUAUAUGGCCUGUGGAUGAGCUCGCGUCUGAUUAGCUAGUUGGUGGGGUAAAGGCUCACCAAGGCGACGAUCAGUAGCUGGUCUGAGAGGAUGAUCAGCCACACUGGAACUGAGACACGGUCCAGACUCCUACGGGAGGCAGCAGUGGGGAAUUUUCCGCAAUGGGCGAAAGCCUGACGGAGCAAGACCGCGUGGGGGAUGAAGGUUUGUGGAUUGUAAACCCCUUUUGAUUGGGAAGAAUAACUGACGGUACCAAUCGAAUAAGCCUCGGCUAACUCCGUGCCAGCAGCCGCGGUAAUACGGAGGAGGCAAGCGUUAUCCGGAAUUAUUGGGCGUAAAGCGUCCGUAGGUGGUUUAGUAAGUCUGCUGUUAAAGCGCGGGGCUUAACUCCGUAUCGGCAGUGGAAACUACUAGACUAGAGUGUGGUAGGGGUAGAGGGAAUUCCCAGUGUAGCGGUGAAAUGCGUAGAUAUUGGGAAGAACACCGGUGGCGAAGGCGCUCUACUGGGCCAUAACUGACACUGAUGGACGAAA
rnacentral:rRNA from 1 species